GGAUAUGUCUUUGUUGACAUGGAUGGUAAGCACUUCCAUCACAUUCUUAAUUGGUUGAGAGAUGGUGUGGUUCCCAUUCUGGAGGACUCUGAAUAUAAUGAACUAUUGCGGGAGGCUGAGUACUAUCAAUUGCUUGUUUAUGUUCGAUGCAUUAUCAUCUAUGUGAGAGAUGAAGAGUUACCUUAAUCUUGACAGAAAUCAUGCUACUACAAUACUGUUUUGCAAGUUAUCUUAUAAUUAGCUCUGUUCGGUGCUGAGUGUUAGUAACAGUGAUUAGACACAGACAAAGAAGGGAAAAAGAGAAGAGAAAUAAAGGAGAGGUUCCUUCCUGUUUUGCUGUGAACUGGAAGGAAGGAAGCUGAAGGUCAAUUGGGAUUCACCACUCUUGACACCCUGAAGCGAACAAGGGAGGAAUCCAAGAAGCAAGUGCAUUGCAUUGCAUUCUGAGUAAGAGUUUGUGGAGAGUGAGUGUGGGAUUAAAAAAGGGAAUUCAAAAUUCAGCGACUGGGGUCAGGGGGUGACUUGCCCCAAUCUGGUGGUGAGUACAAUCCUUAUCGCGCGCUGCGCAGGGUCAAUUCCAGCCACGGCAUGAUGAUCGAUGACGACAAGGAGGCUGGUUCUUUGGGGCCUUACCACGACAGGCCAAGAACUUUCCCCAACAUGCGCACCAAACCUUACACCCCAGUGAUAUUUCGUAUUCUCCUGGGAAUAAAUGUCCGUGUUCUAUUCAUUCUUUUGCUCCUCGGAUUUGGGGCUAUCUUUUACAUGGGAGCCAGUACAUCUCCCAUCAUUGUCUUUGUCAUCUCUAUUUGUAUUCUCAGCUUCCUUGUGUCUAUAUAUCUUACAAAGUGGGUGCUUGCAAAGGAUGAGGGCCCCCCUGAAAUGGUUCAGUGUUAUCUCAGCAUCUAGCCUUUUGGUACCGCCAAGUUUGAUGCUGCAAAGUUAAAGAAGCUUAGAGCAAACUUCAAGCCGAAUGGUGGUACUGUGACUGCUGGCAAUGCUUCUAGCAUAAGCUGCUGCGAUAGUGCUAGUGAGUGAAGAGAAAGCACGUGAGCUCGGAUUGCAUGUAAUAGCAAAGAUAAGAGGAUUCGCGGAUGCGGCUCAGGAACCUGAAUUAUUUACAACUGCUCCUGCCCUUGCAAUACCAAAAGCUAUAUCAAAUGCUGGUCUAGAGGCUUCUCAAAUUGAUUAUUAUGAAAUAAAUGAAGCUUUUUCUAUAAGGAAUACAGCACCCUUUACUCAUUCAUUCUUAUUUCCUUUAUCUUUUGUUCUUCUAAUUUCUUCUAUACAGGUUGUCUCUUGCAAAUCAGAAGCUUCUUCGUCUUAGUCCUGACAAACUUAAUGUACAUGGUGGAGCUGUAUCAUUAGGCCAUCCACUGGGUUGCAGCGGGGCUCGAAUCCUAGUUACAUUAAUAGGGGUAUUGAGACAGAAGAAUGGGAGAUAUGGCGUUGCUGGCAUCUGCAAUGGCGGAGGCGGAGCAUCUGCACUUGUCCUUGAGCUCAUGACUUGUAUGCCAUUCAAAGCUUUGAGAGAGGAAUAGCUGCUCAAAAUGCUGGUCAUUUUUCUUGGGAGAUAGUUCUGCAGAGGCAGCUAUUCUGUUGAACCAGGAUCUUGUCUU